rnacentral:rRNA from 1 species
UACGAAGGGGGCUAGCGUUGUUCGGAAUUACUGGGCGUAAAGCGCGCGCAGGCGGCUAUCCAAGUCAGUGGUGAAAGCCCGGAGCUCAACUCCGGAACUGCCAUUGAAACUGUUUAGCUUGAGGAUGAGAGAGGUGAGUGGAAUUCCCAGUGUAGAGGUGAAAUUCGUAGAUAUUCGCAAGAACACCAGUGGCGAAGGCGGCUCACUGGCCCGGUACUGACGCUGAGGUGCGAAAGCGUGGGGAGCGAACAGG